rnacentral:other from 2 species
AGAAAUCUUUGGUAUUCGACUUAUCGGAUCCAUAUUCUUCCGACAACAUCUAUUAGGGGAACGAGGAUCGCAUAUGAAUUGUAUGCCCUUCGUUGGGAAACAUGCUGUAUGUGUAUUCGUACCCACCUAAGCUUACUUGGGUUAGAUAAUGACCGAUAAACACCGGUACUAAAAGUUUUCGC